rnacentral:rRNA from 1 species
CUCUCGGCAAUGGAUAUCUCGGCUCUUGCAUCGAUGAAGAACGUAGUGAAAUGCGAUACUUGGUGUGAAUUGCAGAAUCUCGUGAACCAUUGAGUCUUUGAACGCAAGUUGUGCCCGAGGCCUUGUGGCCGAGGCACGCCUGCUUGGGCGUCAUUGC